ACUUUGGGAUAACUUCAGGAAACUGGGGCUAAUACCGGAUAGGAGCUCCUGCUGCAUGGUGGGGGUUGGAAAGUUUCGGCGGUUGGGGAUGGACUCGCGGCUUAUCAGCUUGUUGGUGGGGUAGUGGCUUACCAAGGCUUUGACGGGUAGCCGGCCUGAGAGGGUGACCGGCCACAUUGGGACUGAGAUACGGCCCAGACUCCUACGGGAGGCAGCAGUGGGGAAUAUUGCACAAUGGGCGGAAGCCUGAUGCAGCAACGCCGCGUGCGGGAUGACGGCCUUCGGGUUGUAAACCGCUUUCGCCUGUGACGAAGCGUAAGUGACGGUAAUGGGUAAAGGAGCACCGGCUAACUACGUGCCAGCAGCCGCGGUGAUACGUAGGGUGCGAGCGUUGUCCGGAUUUAUUGGGCGUAAAGGGCUCGUAGGUGGUUGAUCGCGUCGGAAGUGUAAUCUUGGGGCUUAACCCUGAGCGUGCUUUCGAUACGGGUUGACUUGAGGAAGGUAGGGGAGAAUGGAAUUCCUGGUGGAGCGGUGGAAUGCGCAGAUAUCAGGAGGAACACCAGUGGCGAAGGCGGUUCUCUGGGCCUUUCCUGACGCUGAGGAGCGAAAGCGUGGGGAGCGAACAGGCUUAGAUACCCUGGUAGUCCACGCUGUAAACGGUGGGUACUAGGUGUGGGGUCCAUUCCACGGGUUCCGUGCCGUAGCUAACGCUUUAAGUACCCCGCCUGGGGAGUACGGCCGCAAGGCUAAAACUCAAAGGAAUUGACGGGGCCCCGCACAAGCGGCGGAGCAUGC
rnacentral:rRNA from 1 species